GCCUACGGGGGGCAGCAGUGAGGAAUAUUGGUCAAUGGCCGAGAGGCUGAACCAGCCAAGUCGCGUGAGGGAUGACGGCCCUACGGGUUGUAAACCUCUUUUGUCGGGGAGCAAGACCCGCCUCGUGCAGGCGGAGCGAGAGUACCCGAAGAAAAAGCAUCGGCUAACUCCGUGCCAGCAGCCGCGGUAAUACGGAGGAUGCGAGCGUUAUCCGGAUUUAUUGGGUUUAAAGGAUGCGCAGGCGGGCCAUCAAGUCAGCGGUAAAAUCGUGGCGCCCAACCCCAUCCCGCCGU
rnacentral:rRNA from 1 species